UUAAUUAACAACGUUCUUUUUUUACUUGCAGAAUCCGUAACAAUUAUUCUGAGACGUAUUGACCCUGAGGGCGGAUAUCGUUGCGACGUCCGAUUGGUAAGUGAAAUUUACAUUUAAUUCGACAUUCCAAUAAGUCAUUGAACGGUCGAAUAAGUCUCACCGCGCUCCACGUCUCGACACAUAUUUUAUUUCACAUUUCGAUAUUUCUCGGAUAAUUAUUCUCGCGAGCGAUCGGAGCGAUUGAUAAUCGCAUUUUCGCGAUAAUGCGACAAUUGUUACAAAAAAAUGUCGUUCAAAAAAAUUACGUUGGUCGGUAUACGGAAAAUUCGUGUACGCGCAUAGAGUUGUAUCAGGUGAUAAUGAAAUAUUUUAAUCAUUUUAAAUCACAUUUAUCUGUCAUUUUCAGAACGCAACGAAUGUGGAACGACUCGCCGUUGCUAGAACAAGUGCUAUCGCAAAGUAUUUAAUCGAACGUGACGGAUGUGAAACCCGGCGUUAUAUAGAACGGCAUCGCAAAUCAUCAUAAGUGUAUCAUCGUUGCUAACUAACGAUUUGCAGUUCUGAGAGGAGCAGGAGGCCUAGGAGAGGCAACGGGCAUCAGUGGAGCAACUUAGCGGUAAGCAUUAUUAUUUAUUUCUGUAAAAUUAAUAUAUUUCCU